rnacentral:rRNA from 1 species
AUUGAACGCUGGCGGUAUGCUUUACACAUGCAAGUCGAACGGUAACAGGCCUUCAGGUUCUGCCGAAUGGCGAACGGGGGCGUAAUGCAGCGGAACGUACCCAGAUGUAGUUGAUAACGCAGCGUAAGGUGUGGUAAUACCGCAUGUGACCUGAGAAGGAAUGCGGGGGACCGAGCAGCAAUGUUUGGCCUCGCGCGUUUGGAGCGGCCGAUGUCGGAUUAGCUAGUUGGCGGGGUAAAGGCCCACCAAGGCGACGAUCCGUAGCUGGUCUGAGAGGACGAUCAGCCACACUGGGACUGAGACACGGCCCAGACUCCUACGGGAGGCAGCAGUGGGGAAUUUUGGACAAUGGGCGCAAGCCUGAUCCAGCCAUGCCGCGUGCGGGAAGAAGGCCUUCGGGUUGUAAACCGCUUUUGGCAGGAAAGAAACGGUGUCCGCUAAUACCGGGCGGUACUGACGGUACCUGCAGAAUAAGCACCGGCUAACUACGUG